rnacentral:rRNA from 1 species
UACGGAGGUGGCAAGCGUUGCUCGGAAUCACUGGGCGUAAAGGGCGCGUAGGCGGGGAGGUAAGUCGGGUGUGAAAUCCCUCGGCCCAACUGAGGAACUGCGCCCGAGACUGCUUCUCUUGAGUCCCGGAGAGGGAGAUGGAAUUCCCGGUGUAGCGGUGAAAUGUGUAGAGAUCGGGAGGAACACCGGUGGCGAAGGCGGUCGUCUGGACGGUGACUGACGCUGAGGCGCGAAAGCGUGGGGAGCAAACGGG